rnacentral:snRNA from 1 species
AAAUUUACAGUGUAUUUUCUUGUAAGUUACAGUGUAAUUUAUGAAAUUUACAUUGUAACUUUUGUAAGUUACAGUGUAAUUUUUAAAUCUUUGUAUGUAAGUUUUGAAAUUUAUAUUGGAUUUGUUUUUUUUUUUAAGUUUUUAUGGUGUUUUUAGUUGCUUUUUACCUUUU